GUUUACAAGGAAGUAUCGGUCUUACAAAGGGUUUAUUCCACAAAGCCGGUUUUAUCACAUAACCAGGGUAGUUUUCUCUAUAAUGUUGGAGAUGCUGAGCACAUUGGGAAAGCUAAGGUGUGCCGAUCCGUGCGUAAAGUGUGUCUCAAGCGGUUCAUGCGCGACUUCAUCCGCUUCCCUGGACACAAACCCACGAGGGUCAUAAAAAUGGAGUUCCAUCAACUUGCAGAAUUUCCAAAUGUAAUUGGGUGCAUUGAAGGCACACAAGUCCCCAUAAUGGCCCCAUCUAUAAAUGAGGCUGAUUAUGUGAACAGGAAAGGCUAUUACAGUAUAAAUGUUCAGGUGAUAUGUGAUGCUUGAAUUCUCACAUGAUUACCAUAUGUAGAGGCAAAAUUGCCUGGUUCGGUCCACGAUGCGAGGAUAUAACGUGAAUCCAAUAUGAGCAAUACAUUUC